UACGUAUGGAGCAAGCGUUAUCCGGAUUUACUGGGUGUAAAGGGAGCGCAGGCGGCUUUGCAAGUCUGAUGUGAAAGGCCGGGGCUCAACCCCGGGACUGCAGUGGAAACUGUAAAGCUAGAGUGCCGGAGAGGUAAGCGGAAUUCCUAGUGUAGCGGUGAAAUGCGUAGAUAUUAGGAGGAACACCAGUGGCGAAGGCGGCUUACUGGACGGCAACUGACGCUGAGGCUCGAAAGCGUGGGGAGCAAACAGG
rnacentral:rRNA from 1 species